UUAUAGAGUUUUCUAAACUCCCAACCCAUGUGAACUUACCUUUUGUUGCCUCGGCAGAAGUUAUAGGUCUUCUUAUAGCUGCUGCCGGUGGACCAUUAAACUCUUGUUAUUUUAUGUAAUCUGAGCGUCUUAUUUUAAUAAGUCAAAACUUUCAACAACGGAUCUCUUGGUUCUGGCAUCGAUGAAGAACGCAGCGAAAUGCGAUAAGUAAUGUGAAUUGCAGAAUUCAGUGAAUCAUCGAAUCUUUGAACGCACAUUGCGCCCAUUAGUAUUCUAGUGGGCAUGCCUGUUCGAGCGUCAUUUCAACCCUUAAGCCUAGCUUAGUGUUGGGAAUCUACUUCUUUUAUUAGUUGUAGUUCCUGAAAUACAACGGCGGAUUUGUAGUAUCCUCUGAGCGUAGUAAUUUUUUUCUCGCUUUUGUUAGGUGCUAUAACUCCCAGCCGCUAAACCCCCAAUUUUUUGUGGUUGACCUCGGAUCAGGUAGGAAUACCCGCUGAACUUAAGCAUAUCAAUAAGCGGAGGAAAAGAAACCAACAGGGAUUGCCUUAGUAACGGCGAGUGAAGCGGCAACAGCUCAAAUUUGAAAUCUGGCCCUUGGGUCCGAAUUGUAAUUUGUAGAGGAUGAUUUUGGUGCGGUAUCUUCCGAGUUCCUUGGAACAGGACGCCUUAGAGGGUGAGAGCCCCGUACGGUUGAAUGCCUAGCCUCUGUAAAUCUCCUUCGACGAGUCGAGUAGUUUGGGAAUGCUGCUCUAAAUGGGAGGUAAAUUUCUUCUAAAGCUAAAUAUUGGCCAGAGACCGAUAGCGCACAAGUAGAGUGAUCGAAAGAUGAAAAGCACUUUGAAAAGAGGGUUAAAUAGCACGUGAAAUUGUUGAAAGGGAAGGAUUUGUGACCAGACUUUUUCUGGGCGGAUCAUCCGGGGUUCUCUCCGGUGCACUUCGCCCAGUAAAGGCCAGCAUCGGUUUUCGGCGUGGGAUAAAAGCAGUAGGAAUGUGGCUCUCUACGGGGAGUGUUAUAGCCUAUUGUAUAAUACCGCGCUGGGGACCGAGGU
rnacentral:rRNA from 1 species